rnacentral:rRNA from 1 species
UACGUAGGGUGCAAGCGUUGUCCGGAAUUAUUGGGCGUAAAGAGCUCGUAGGCGGUUUGUCGCGUCGAAUGUGAAAACCCGGGGCUCAACCCCGGGCCUGCAUUCGAUACGGGCAGACUAGAGUUCGGUAGGGGAGUCUGGAAUUCCUGGUGUAGCGGUGAAAUGCGCAGAUAUCAGGAGGAACACCGGUGGCGAAGGCGGGACUCUGGGCCGAUACUGACGCUGAGGCGCGAAAGCUAGGGUAGCAAACGGG